UAAUACGGAGGGUGCAAACGUUGCUCGGAAUCAUUGGGCGUAAAGCGUACGUAGGCGGUCCUUUAAGUCGGGUGUGAAAGCCCAAGGCUCAACCUUGGAAGUGCAUUCGAAACUGAAGGGCUUGAGUACGGAAGAGGGUCUCGGAAUUCCCGGUGUAGAGGUGAAAUUCGUAGAUAUCGGGAGGAACACCAGUGGCGAAGGCGGAGACCUGGGCCGAUACUGACGCUGAGGUACGAAAGCGUGGGGAGCAAACAGGAUUAGAUACCCUGGUAGUCCACGCCGUAAACGAUGAGCGCUAGGCGUUGGGGGUAUUGACCCCUCCAGUGCCGCAGCUAACGCGUUAAGCGCUCCGCCUGGGGAGUACGGCCGCAAGGCUA
rnacentral:rRNA from 1 species